GACGAACGCUGGCGGCGUGCUUAACACAUGCAAGUCGAGCGAUGAAGCUUCUUCGGAAGUGGAUUAGCGGCGGACGGGUGAGUAACACGUGGGUAACCUGCCUCAUAGAGGGGAAUAGCCUUCCGAAAGGAAGAUUAAUACCGCAUAAGAUUGUAAUAUCGCAUGAUAUAGCAAUUAAAGGAGCAAUCCGCUAUGAGAUGGACCCGCGUCGCAUUAGCUAGUUGGUGAGGUAACGGCUCACCAAGGCGACGAUGCGUAGCCGACCUGAGAGGGUGAUCGGCCACAUUGGGACUGAGACACGGCCCAGACUCCUACGGGAGGCAGCAGUGGGGAAUAUUGCACAAUGGGGGAAACCCUGAUGCAGCAACGCCGCGUGAGUGAUGACGGUCUUCGGAUUGUAAAGCUCUGUCUUUAGGGACGAUAAUGACGGUACCUAAGGAGGAAGCCACGGCUAACUACGUGCCAGCCGCCGCGGUAA
rnacentral:rRNA from 1 species